UACAGAGGGUGCGAGCGUUAAUCGGAAUUACUGGGCGUAAAGCGCGCGUAGGCGGCUUUGCAAGUCGGGUGUGAAAUCCCCAGGCUUAACCUGGGAACUGCAUUCGAGACUGCAUUGCUAGAGUAUGGGAGAGGGAAGUGGAAUUUCCGGUGUAGCGGUGAAAUGCGUAGAUAUCUGGAGGAACACCGGUGGCGAAGGCGGCAUCCUGGACCGAUACUGACGCUGAGGAGCGAAAGCCAGGGGAGCAAACGGG
rnacentral:rRNA from 1 species